GACACAAAUAGUCAUAAAGUCAAAAAGCAACACGUUGUGGACAAUGAAGUAAAGAAGUAGGUUUCUUAACAAUAAAUUCAUCAGAUUUCUGCACGCAUCUGCUACACCAAAAUCUUGCAUGCAAACACCUGUGGGUGUGGGCAUUUGUUGACAGCCAGA
rnacentral:lncRNA from 12 species